rfam:Triticum urartu cultivar G1812 contig1238458, whole genome shotgun sequence.
AUAUCAUUAGCUUAAUGGUAAAGCAAGGUAGUAUUAAUACUUAGAUGCAAGUUCAAUUCUUGACUGAUACU